UUAGUUGCGGGCGUCUCGCUCGCACAAAUACAUGCGUAUAAGUGCGAAAUGAACACACGAAUGACAGCUAACUGGUAUCAUUCCAAUAUUAUUCUAAAAUUGGUUUAAUGUCAGUUGCACUUUCGAAUUGGCCUACAUAGCAAUUUCCUUAGCCUGCACACCGGAUCGGCGUGUGGGCCGGCAUCUAGCUAAUGUAAAGCCACCUCAUUAGGUGCUUUUAGCCUUUUGAACGGCAAGAACACCUAAAGAUGUGGUGAGAGAAAGCCGCGCGUCCCUCAUGCACUGCACUAGCUUUACAGCUUGCAUUGCGACCAAUGUAUGCCGCUCACCGCCCCGCCGGUCGCGUGGGUCCAAUCCACGGCCCUAGAAGACGUACUUUACAUAUAAACAAGAGCACGCGAGCAUUUUGCGAGUUGUGUAUGUGUACUUGUGUUAUCUAGGCGCACAAACGGUUACAAUAACAAGAAGUGUACACCGCGUGUGCAGUCCAACACGGGAGCACGGGUGCGAUUCGAAAAUAACGCGCUAGCGACGCAUUACGACAUUGAUAUUUUACCCUUUGAACGCCAUAACAAAAACGUUACUCACAUGCCAAGGUCACGGGCGCAAGUGAGCUUGAAAGUGCAUGAGUAUUACAUUAGGGACUUUGACAGCGAUUAUAACAACUAUAAUCAUUAAUGUGUUCAUGGCCCUUAAAUCAUGUCUAGUGACGGCGCCUUUAGGUGUUCUUGACGUUCAAAAGGUUAAGGGCGUUUGCUAGCUGGCGCUAGUGCACGGAGCGGGCAAACACGCGCAGGUGCCUUUGUAAGUAAAAUCAGUCGCACGCGUCCGCGCCAGUUAGCGUUGCUCAUACUGUAAGAGCUCGUUCCCACUAUGUCGGAUGUCGUGGCGAUUUUUAAUCGUACGUUCCACUGGCAGAACAUUUUAUAUGAAGCUGUUCACACUCGUCCGACAACGAUUUUGUGUCGGAUACGACAUAAAAUGUCGUGCGUUUUGCCAGCCCUCCCAGCCCGGAAAAAAAACGUGUCGUGUCUCGCUCGCGUACGAGUGAAUAUAGCGCUGUUCACAUUUUGUCGGAUGUCGGAACGAUUUCGCCCGCGCGGCACCCCCUCACACACCCUCGCGUCGCUGCCGCGUCGUUGCGAUCGCUUCUUAAUUCAGCUAUCAAAUUCUGAAAUAUUCAUAAGGUAAAUCUUUCCCUGAGAAUUGGGUGUACCCAAUAUCUCCUUUUUUUUUACUGCCUCUAAUCGUUUCUUUCGCAAAUAAUACAAAACCACAAACAUUUCGUCGACGUUCAUCUUGUACUAAGCCUCGCUACCCACUCGAAAAAUACACGCCAGCUGCGAUCGUGCACGACAGACGACUAGUGGGAACAGUACCGCCGACACCCGAUUGAAAUCCGGAUCCGACAUCCGACAUAGUGAGAACAGCGGCAACGACACACGAUUAAAAAUCGCCACGACAUCCGACAUAGUGGGAACGAGCUCUAAGCCGCACGCCCGCUCCAUGCACACGCGCGACGUUGCGGACGCCCUAUGCCCUAAACCUUACUUGAAAGUGUGAAGGUUACUCUGACAGCGGCUAUAUCAGCUAUAAUGUAUUUAUGACGCUUUGAGCAUAGCUAGUUACGACGCCUUAAGGUAUUCUUGGCGUUCAAAAGGUUAAGGGCGUUUGCUAGCUGGCGCGAGUGCACGGAGCGGGUGCACCUAGCGUCGCCAGUUACUGUUUUUCGUUAACCCGCUUCAGCUAGCAAACUAAUCGCAAAUGGUCCGAGAUUGGCGCAAUAACCAUGCAUUCCCUUAUCUGGAUCUGGAUGCACCUAUUCACCAACGCUUGCUUUAAAGUAACUUGUCGACUCGUCCUGAUAAUAUUUGUGCGACCGUGAAGAAAAUCUAUGCCGUCACUUAUUUUUCAAUGUAUAUGAAAUAAAGAUGUUAAAUGUA